rnacentral:rRNA from 1 species
UACAUAGGGUGCGAGCGUUAUUCGGAUUUAUUGGGCGUAAAGAGCUCGUAGGCGGUUCAACAAGUCGGGUGUUAAACCCCCAGGCUCAACCUGGGGCCGCCACCCGAAACUGUUGUGACUAGAGUUUGGUAGGGGAUCACGGAAUUCCUGGUGUAGCGGUGGAAUGCGCAGAUAUCAGGAGGAACACCAGUAGCGAAGGCGGUGAUCUGGGCCAAUACUGACGCUGAGGAGCGAAAGCGUGGGGAGCGAACAGGAUUAGAUACCCUGGUAGUCCACGCCGUAAACGGUGGGCACUAGGUGUGGGGACUUUUCAACGGUUUCCGCGCCGCAGCUAACGCAUUAAGUGCCCCGCCUGGGGAGUACGGUCGCAAGACUAAAACU